UUAGCGGGAAUGUGUAUUUUGCAGCUUCUUUCAUUUUGAAUUUACAGCUGGGUUACACUCCUCUUCCAGUUUCAAGUUUCGUCCGCCACGCCAUCGCGUCGUCGACCCAGGGUUCUGCAAAUCGCCGUCGUCGCGGGGAUUCUCCUCUGAUUUCGUUCGGUGAGCAGCUGACCCACAGAUUUACGUGAAGUAGAGAAUGUCGAGAAAUGAGCGAAGGGGUUGUUGAUGGGGAAAACUGCCUUCAAAAGCCAAGGAUAAGGACAAGAAUAAACUCGUCUCUCGCUCUUCUCACGCUGGACUGCAGGUGUCCCUCACGCCGUCGCCGAUUAUUCUCCGACACCGCUCGUCCCUCAGUUUGCAGGUCUUGUUAUUAACGAGAAACCUGAUCUUAAAUUUGUUCAGUCCUGAGUUCGAGCCAAUUAAAGAGGUCCAAUCAUCAUAUGAUGUCCAGUUGAAGGAAGUACAAGUUUCACCCGGAACUGUGAUCAGUGCUGAAUGAGCUUCGCCGCUUCUCAGAAUGGACAUAUUUAUUUUUUAUAUGUAUAUAGUAAGUAAGCAACGCACCAUCAUCACCCCGAGCAAUAACUGAAGCAUACAUAUGUUAUCUGAGUCUCUCUUCAAAAGCACUGUACAAGAUAAUCCAAUAGCAAGACCUUUAUACACAAGGUAGAAGCAGCAGCCAAAAUGACGCUGGAGAUGAAAAGAGUCAUCGGCAUCAUUUGUGCUUGCUCUACCACUGUGUAGAGCACACCCUUUUGCCCUUGUUGUAAAUCUGUUUAGGUAUGAGCAUGACACCUUUCUCACCUCUAACUUGUAUUUUUUUCAAUUUUGGUGCUCAGCUGUUGUGGUUAAUUCGUUGACAAUUGACAUAGUAGUGGCUGUAGUGCAGUGUCAUUGUAAGUCUUAGCUAUCUCUCUUUUCCCAUGUAGAUAAGUGAGAUUGUAGUUCAGUUCUUGCUGUAAACUUUCAAGUAUUGAUAGUGCUCCCUAAUUUUGACACA